GGAAUAUUGCACAAUGGAGGAAACUCUGAUGCAGCAACGCCGCGUGGAGGAUGACGCAUUUCGGUGUGUAAACUCCUUUUAUAAGGGAAGAAAAUGACGGUACCUUAUGAAUAAGCACCGGCUAACUCCGUGCCAGCAGCCGCGGUAAUACGGAGGGUGCAAGCGUUAUUCGGAAUCACUGGGCGUAAAGGACGCGUAGGCGGGAAGCCAAGUCUGAUGUGAAAUCCUAUGGCUCAACCAUAGAACUGCAUUGGAAACUGGUUACCUAGAGUAUGGGAGGGGGAGAUGGAAUUAGUGGUGUAGGGGUAAAAUCCGUAGAUAUCACUAGGAAUACCGAAAGCGAAGGCGAUCUCCUGGAACAAUACUGACGCUAAGGCGUGAAAGCGUGGGGAGCAAACGGGAUUAGAUACCCCGGUAGUCCACGCCCUAAACGAUGAACACUAGUCGUCGGAAUGCUAGUCAUUUCGGUGAUGCACUUAACAGAUUAAGUGUUCCGCCUGGGGAGUACGGUCGCAAGAUUAAAACUCAAAGGAAUAGACGGGGACCCGCACAAGUGGUGGAGCAUGUGGUUUAAUUCGAAGAUACGCGAAGAACCUUACCUAGCCUUGACAUUGAAGAAACACACUAGAGAUAGAGUGGUGCCCUUCGGGGAAUCUGAAAACAGGUGCUGCACGGCUGUCGUCAGCUCGUGUCGUGAGAUGUUGGGUUAAGUCCCGCAACGAGCGCAACCCUCGUCCUUAGUUGCCAGCAGGUUAUGCUGGGCACUCUAAGGAGACUGCCUUCGUAAGGAGGAGGAAGGUGAGGACGACGUCAAGUCAUCAUGGCCCUUAUGGCUAGGGCUACACACGUGCUACAAUGGGGCGUACAGAGAGUUGCGAUACCGCGAGGUGGAGCCAAUCUCAUAAAGCGUCUCUCAGUUCGGAUAGCAGUCUGCAACUCGACUGCUUGAAGCUGGAAUCACUAGUAAUCGUAGAUCAGCAAUGCUACGGUGAAUACGU
rnacentral:rRNA from 1 species